GAUGAACGCUGGCGGCGUGCCUAAUACAUGCAAGUCGAGCGGACCAAAGAGAGCUUGCUCUCUGAGGUUAGCGGCGGACGGGUGAGUAACACGUGGGUAACCUGCCUGUAAGACGGGGAUAACUUCGGGAAACCGAAGCUAAUACCGGAUGAUAAAGAGAAACGCCUGUUUCUCUUUUGAAAGUCGGCCUUGUGCUGACGCUUACAGAUGGGACGGCGGCGCAUUAGCUAGUUGGUGAGGUAACGGCUCACCAAGGCGACGAUGCGUAGCCGACCUGAGAGGGUGAUCGGCCACACUGGGACUGAGACACGGCCCAGACUCCUACGGGAGGCAGCAGUAGGGAAUCUUCGGCAAUGGACGAAAGUCUGACCGAGCAACGCCGCGUGAGCGAUGAAGGCCUUCGGGUCGUAAAGCUCUGUUGUCAGAGAAGAACAAGUACCGGAGUAACUGCCGGUACCUUGACGGUACCUGACCAGAAAGCCACGGCUAACCACGUGCCAGCCGCCGCAGUAA
rnacentral:rRNA from 1 species